GCCAGUGUGGUUUAAUGGUUUGAGCAUUGGACUAUGACCCUGGAGACCAGGGUUCAAAUCCCCAGUCAGCCA
rnacentral:tRNA from 1 species